AGAACGUUACGUGACCUUUUCUAAUAUUAACUACUUAAUUACUGAGCCUUUGUAUCGAUUUCUCGUUUCAGUUUUAAGAAAAUGCCAGAAAAUUUUGUUUUUAUUCAUUAAUGACAUGUAUCAAGGAUAAACAUUGCAAAUAAUAAUAACAAUCACAUAAGUAUUAUUAAUAGUAAUUCUUAUACAUAAGAAGUCAUAUAAACCCAAAUACAACACCUAUCCCUCUGUUAAAAUAAAACCUCAAAGGACAAGAGCGAGGGGACUCUAUGAAAGCAAUUAAAACCAUAAAGAAAGCCUACUAAUCGCUCGCAUUCUUAAAUUGAAAUCGUUUUGAACCCCCUACCUCGAUGUCGCAAUUGCAGAAUUUGAACACAACUGCCCCAUUUCAUUUCUAAUUUACAGCAGUGACAACAAUCCUAAUGCAAUCAAGGACACCGCUGGAACAGCAACAGCUUUAAUUUCGCGGCAAUGAUGAUGGUUGCACCAGGACAAGAAUUUGAAUCUAAUGUAGUCAAGGGCAGAAACAACCC